rnacentral:tRNA from 1 species
GACCCAUUAGCUCAGUAGGCAGAGCACCUGACUUUUAAUCAGGGUGUCCCGCGUUCGAGUCGCGGAUGGGUCACCA